rnacentral:tRNA from 1 species
GGAAGCGUGCCCGAGUUAUUAAGGACUACUUUGAUAGAGUAAACCACAGAGGCUCAAACCCUCUCACUUCCU